rnacentral:rRNA from 2 species
GGGUUGUGAGGUUAAGCGACUAAGCGUACACGGUGGAUGCCCUGGCAGUCAGAGGCGAUGAAGGACGUGCUAAUCUGCGAAAAGCGCCGGCGAGGUGAUAUGAACCUUUGACCCGGCGAUGUCCGAAUGGGGAAACCCAGUGUGUUCCGACACACUAUCGUUAACUGAAUACAUAGGUUAACGAGGCGAACCGGGGGAACUGAAACAUCUAAGUACCCCGAGGAAAAGAAAUCAACCGAGAUUCCCCCAGUAGCGGCGAGCGAACGGGGAGCAGCCCAGAGUCUGAAUCAGCUUGUGUGUUAGUGGAAGCGUCUGGAAAGUCGCACGGUACAGGGUGACAGUCCCGUACACGAAAGCACACAGGUUGUGAACUCGAAGAGUAGGGCGGGACACGUGGUAUCCUGUCUGAAUAUGGGGGGACCAUCCUCCAAGGCUAAAUACUCCUGACUGACCGAUAGUGAACCAGUACCGUGAGGGAAAGGCGAAAAGAACCCCGGCGAGGGGAGUGAAAAAGAACCUGAAACCGUGUACGUACAAGCAGUGGGAGCACCUUCGUGGUGUGACUGCGUACCUUUUGUAUAAUGGGUCAGCGACUUAUAUUCUGUAGCAAGGUUAACCGUAUAGGGGAGCCGAAGGGAAACCGAGUCUUAACUGGGCGUUAAGUUGCAGGGUAUAGACCCGAAACCCGGUGAUCUAGCCAUGGGCAGGUUGAAGGUUGGGUAACACUAACUGGAGGACCGAACCGACUAAUGUUGAAAAAUUAGCGGAUGACUUGUGGCUGGGGGUGAAAGGCCAAUCAAACCGGGAGAUAGCUGGUUCUCCCCGAAAGCUAUUUAGGUAGCGCCUCGUGAACUCAUCUUCGGGGGUAGAGCACUGUUUCGGCUAGGGGGCCAUCCCGGCUUACCAACCCGAUGCAAACUACGAAUACCGAAGAAUGUUAUCACGGGAGACACACGGCGGGUGCUAACGUCCGUCGUGAAGAGGGAAACAACCCAGACCGCCAGCUAAGGUCCCAAAGUCAUGGUUAAGUGGGAAACGAUGUGGGAAGGCACAGACAGCCAGGAUGUUGGCUUAGAAGCAGCCAUCAUUUAAAGAAAGCGUAAUAGCUCACUGGUCGAGUCGGCCUGCGCGGAAGAUGUAACGGGGCUAAACCAUGCACCGAAGCUGCGGCAGCGAC